rnacentral:rRNA from 1 species
AUUGAACGCUGGCGGCAUGCUUUACACAUGCAAGUCGAACGGCAGCACGGGUGCUUGCACCUGGUGGCGAGUGGCGAACGGGUGAGUAAUGCAUCGGAACGUGCCUAUUAGUGGGGGAUAACGCUUCGAAAGGAGUGCUAAUACCGCAUAAUCUCUGAGGAGGAAAGCAGGGGGACCUUCGGGCCUUGCGCUGAUAGAGCGGCCGAUGUCGGAUUAGCUAGUUGGUGAGGUAAAGGCUCACCAAGGCGACGAUCCGUAGCGGGUCUGAGAGGAUGAUCCGCCACACUGGGACUGAGACACGGCCCAGACUCCUACGGGAGGCAGCAGUGGGGAAUUUUGGACAAUGGGCGCAAGCCUGAUCCAGCCAUGCCGCGUGAGUGAAGAAGGCCUU